UCAUCGCUCUCUUUGCAACGAGAGCAUAAACACACGCUCUCUUUCUCUUUCUCUCUCUCUCUCUCUCUGUUUCGUUCUCUCCUCUUCUGCUCUUCGAUUAGGAGUUCGGUCCUGUCCGGUUCUUCUCACUGCCAUUCAAACGGUUCUCCCGGAUUUGAAAAUCCCGUGGUUCGAUUGUUCCGCUCUUGAAAGAUCUCCAUGUCCGCGUGAUUCGAAUGCCUUGGACUGGUAGCUGUGAGCGAGGCGGACUGAGAAGAACGAGCUCCAUUUAUUAUGCCGGCGUUUCUGUUCCUAGGUGAUGAUGAGGUACUGGAAACAGUUUACUGGAUUUCUAAAUUCUAUUGAGCUGUGAAAUUGAAUUCCGCUUUUUUUUUUUUUUUUUAAAGUCUGCGUAAUGUUCUUGUAUUUAUAAUUUAGAUGGAUAUUGAUGAAAUUAAAUUCGCUAGUUGUUUUGGUGUUGCUGAAGGGAUUUUUGAGCUUGGGCAUGGUUUGUACUAGCAGUAUUAAUUAACAAAUAAGUAUGUCAAGUAAAUAUAGAAGGAAAAACAUAUAUAAUAUGUUCAAAAUUGUAAAAAGAAGAAAAGAAAAAGAGAUAUUAAGUAAUAUCAAUAUGAUUAGAUUUUACAUUAACGGUGAUAUCACUGAUAUGGAUGUUUAAUAACGUGAAUUCAUUAUUUCUAAACUUAGACAUAGCAUUCUUUAAGGUAUAGAAUUUCAUUAUGAUCUGAUUUUGAGUUCGAUAUGUUAGAGAGGGAGACGUGAUGAAGAGGACAUGCAUGAAGGCUUUAUCUGGUUUUAUGCAAACAUAGAUAGAGAUGCUUAUAAUACAGUGUUACGAAUCUGUUAUGACUUAAAUGUAGUUCGUCAUCAUCUGAUUUUAAGUUGAAUAUGAUUUGCUCUCUGAAAAUAAUUGAAUGUCUUAAUUAAUGGAAAGCUGAGACAAAAGAGAGAGACAUGGUAAACCAUGUGAAAAAAAGAAUAUGUGUGUCAUACUCACGUUGAGUCACAUGGUGCAAGCACGUCGUGUAAAGACUCAAUUUUUUUUUCCCCCUGAAUCAUGUAUAAUUUGCAUAGGAAAUUUCCUUUUAGGCUGGAUUACAAGUAGUAAACAUACAUGUGACUGAUUCAAAGUCAUCUUGGCAAUUGUAGCAUUUAUCUUUUCCUAAUGAGGUGUCAGGACUCUUGUACCUCACUAAUAUCUAGACACUUGUAAAGAAUUCUGGUAGGAUUCAAACUUGGCCCAAUGCAUCCUGAGACAUCUUGAAAGAUGUAUCCAUUUGAGUUUUGGGAGAAUCUAUACAAACUAGAACAGGGAAAAGAAGAAGAAGAAGAAGAAGAAGAAGAGUGAGAGUAUGUGUAAUGCUGAAGGGUGUUUCUGUGUAACACCCCCUUCCUAUAAGAAGACGAUAUUACACAUCUUUUUAACCAGAAACGCAAGGAUACAAGAAUUCCAUAAACUAAAAAUCAAAGCAAAAUGUCUCAUUAAAAUUAAAACUUAAACCAUUGUAUCACUGCUCUACAACUCAUUCCAUUAAAACUUAAAAGUUAAACCUUAGUCUAUACAUAAGAAAGCAUACUGAAACUUGAAAGAACUAAUGUGAUACAUGCACUUAUUUAAUUUGCUUCUAGAUGAAGGCUUCCGACUCUAGUUUUCUUGGCCUGUAGAAUCAUUCGUGACAUCAUUUGGGUUGCUUUAAAACAUAAUAGCAAAGGGUGGGUCGAAUAUUCAGUAAGUAGAUACAUCAUACAGUAAAUGAAAUUGGAAGCAAUUUUCAUUUUGAAAACAUCAAAAGGUAUAAGUAAGACAUUCACACAUAUCAUAAACAUUUUUCUUCCUUUAAUGUCUUGAAUGACCGACACACAAUUACGCCCUGUGUGUAAGGGUUGGUGAUCACAAGGAUCUUGGCUUCGCUCCCAUGGCCACAAGUGGAGUCGUGUCUAGGACAUGGACAUAACUCAAUGCCCGAAAGCAACAAGCAACAAGCAACGAAUUGAGCUGCCAAUGCUAGAAAGCCGUUGCGUGUUAGAACAAGCAAGGGUUGAGCUAAACGAUGGUGCAUUUGAACAUGUUAUCUGUGAUUGCUGCCAAGGACUAUUGUUAAGAACAAGCAACUUAUAUAAUGCAUGUUUGCUGGUUCUAAAUUGAAUCUUCAGUCUCCCAAAAUUAUGCCCUCUCACCAACUUUUACAUCUGAUGGAGCAUGGUUAGCUUCAUUGUCCAUCAAAGGUUUGUGGUACAUUGAGAGUUCACACAGAAAAUUUACUGCAAUGUAGUGUCCUUUACAUGUGGUUGAAAGUUUUUGUAUAUUUACAGUAUUUAUUCAGGAUCUACGUACUACAUUAUUAUCAUUGUAUGAUAUCUUUUGUGAUAUAGCUUCGAUCAUCCACUUUUUUGUUAGUGGUGCUCUAUGUUCUUGUUUUAUUUUGCAGAUAUCGACAACUACCCAAUAGGCUGUACUCAAUUUCAAAUGAUUAGGUGUCAAAAGUGGAAAAUGAAUGGAAAAUAUAGAGAAUUAAUGCAUAUUUUCGUUAUUAUAUUCUAAAACACAUUUUUGACAAUUUUCUUACAAUCUUCAUGCAUUCAACUCAACUCAAUUCAACUAAGACUUGAUUUCAAUUGAUUUGAGGUCGAAUUUGUAUUCUUGUCAACCAAUCGCGGUCAUGCGCAUGUAUUCAUUUAUGUCAUUAUAUUUUAUCUAAAAUUAUACUCUUUGCAGUUUCCCUAUUUGACACAUCAUUUUUUACUAUUGCUAUUAGAAGCUUUCAUUUACCUCUUUUUACUCCAUUAUUUCUAUUCUCAUAUGUUAUAACUUCUCCAACACCCUCCCAUCCCACAUAAUCAAAACACCAUCUAACUCCCCUUUGGAGUCCAGACAACACAAAUCUACAUGAUGGCACCCCCACAAACUACGCACAACACUAUGAGACAUGACCUCCAGUUUAGUUUCUUGAAAACAAACAACAUCAACUUUCCACUCUCUGAGUAGGUUCCUCACCCUUAGGCAUUUAUCCCCCUCACUCAACUCUCUCACGUUCUAAGAUAGAAGUUUAGGCUUCAUUAAAAACUGAAAUACCCCUCCUUUUCUUUACCACGACUUGCACCCUCACUUUUAGAGGCGUAAUUAAUGGAGCAUUCCAAUCUCUUUAACUCCCUAUUACUUUUGUUGCCCAUUUUAGAGAUGGAACCUGAACCCUUAGGAAGAUGACUUGCUUCAAUAACUGUCAAAAUAGCCAUAAACUGUUCCUCAAAACCCACACACGAAACCCCCAAUACUUGAUGGAUCUCCUUCACUCUUUGCAAGACCUAAUCUGAAUACUCCGACCUUGAGCGACCAGAUUUUCCCAUCACGGCGGGGGAGAUAGGAGCUAAGGGGAGUGCAGUACGGAGCUUCCUCCCUAUUGAGAAAAACCACUUUUCGGCAAGGUGCCAAAUCGAGCACAUGCUGGCUUAUUUCUCCAACACAACCCACCUCCAUUACAACCAAAGUAGGCAGAGGAGAACCCUCCUCUUUUUCACUAAUAAGGCUGACUCCCCACCCUAAGCCAGUUGAAGAGGAGCCAAUAGCACUAGGCGAAAAGAGCUUAGGAAAUGGUUCUUUGAAAGUUAAAAACUCAAGAGUAUUGAUAGCAGAAAGAGCAAACCCUCUUUUGGAGGGGACUCACCACAGCUUGUCUUCCUAAGAGAGCAUGAUUGAACAUCAACAAGUUCUGAAUCCCCUGUGGAUCAUCUCCUUCUCCAAUGUGAGGCUGCUAGCGCUUUAUGGACUACCAUCUUUAGCUGUUUUGGGUUAUCUUGGGUUAUGCCUCUUCGUGUGAUAGACUUGUUUG
rnacentral:lncRNA from 1 species